UGGCGCACGGGUGAGUAACGCGUGGGUAAUCUACCCCUGAAUUUGGGAUAACGUUGCGAAAGCGACGCUAAUACCGGAUAAUAUCUUUUUAAUUUUGGUUAGGAAGAUCAAAGGUGGCCUCUACAUGUAAGCUACUGUUUGGGGAUGAGCCCGCGUACCAUUAGCUAGUUGGUAGGGUAAUGGCCUACCAAGGCAGCGAUGGUUAGCUGGUCUGAGAGGAUGAUCAGCCACACUGGAACUGACACACGGUCCAGACUCCUACGGGAGGCAGCAGUGAGGAAUUUUGCGCAAUGGGGGAAACCCUGACGCGGCAACGCCGCGUGAGUGAUGAAGGCCUUCGGGUCGUAAAGCUCUGUCAAGUGGGAAGAAUCUGAUUAUUGUUAAUAUCAGUAAUCACUGACGGUACCAUUGAAGGAAGCACCGGCUAACUCCGUGCCAGCAGCCGCGGUAAUACGGGGGGUGCAAGCGUUAUUCGGAAUUAUUGGGCGUAAGGAGCACGUAGGCGGCCAGUUAAGUCAGAUGUGAAAUCCCGGGGCUCAACCCCGGAAGUGCAUUUGAAACUAAUUGGCUUGAGUAUGGGAGAGGGAAAGUGGAAUUCCUGGUGUAGAGGGUGAAAUUCGUAGAUAUCAGGAGGAACACCGGUGGCGAAGGCGACUUCCUGGACCAAUACUGACGCUGAGGUGCGAAGGCGUGGGGAGCAAACAGGAUUAGAUACCCUGGUAGUCCACGCAGUAAACGGUGAUCACUAGGUGUAGCGGGUAUUGACCCCUGCUGUGCCGGAGUUAACGCAUUAAGUGAUCCGCCUGGGGAGUACGGCCGCAAGGUUAAACUCAAGGAAUUGACGGGGCCCGCACAGCGGUGGAAGCAUGGUGGUUUAAUUCG
rnacentral:rRNA from 1 species